GUUUCCGUAGUGUAGUGGUCAUCACACUUGCCUAACACGCUAGAGGUCCUCGGUUCGAAACCGAGCGGAAACA